rnacentral:rRNA from 1 species
CAACAACGGAUCUCUUGGUUCUGGCAUCGAUGAAGAACGCAGCAAAAUGCGAUAAGUAAUGUGAAUUGCAGAAUUCAGUGAAUCAUCGAAUCUUUGAACGCACAUUGCGCCCGCCAGUAUUCUGGCGGGCAUGCCUGUUCGAGCGUCAUU